rnacentral:rRNA from 1 species
CAAUAGCGUAUAUUAAAGUUGUUGCAGUUAAAAAGCUCGUAGUUGAACUUUGGGCCUGGCAGGCCGGUCCGCUUUUUGGCGAGUACUGACCCUGCCGGGCCUUUCCUUCUGGCUAACCUCCCCUCUGGAGAGGCGAACCAGGACUUUUCCUUUGAAAAAAUUAGAGUGUUCAAAGCAGGCCUUUGCUCGAAUAUAUUAGCAUGGAAUAAUAGAAUAGGACGUUUGGUUCUAUUUUGUUGGUUUCUAGGACCAUCGUAAUGAUUAAUAGGGACGGUCGGGGGCAUCAGUAUUCAGUUGUCAGAGGUGAAAUUCUUGGAUUUACUGAAGACUAACUACUGCGAAAGCAUUUGCCAAGGACGUUUUCAUUAA